UACGUAGGAGACGAGCGUUGUCCGGAGUUACUGGGCGUAAAGGGUGCGCAGGUGGCGGCGCGCGUGGGGGGUGAAAUCGCCCGGCUUAACUGGGCGGGGGCCUUCCAGACGGCAUGGCUUGAGCAGCGGAGGGGGACGUGGAAUUCCGGGUGGAGCGGUGAAAUGCGUAGAGAUCCGGAAGAACACCAGUGGCGAAGGCGGCCCGCUGGGCAGUGGCUGACGCUGAAGCGCGACAGCGUGGGGAGCAAACAGG
rnacentral:rRNA from 1 species